rnacentral:rRNA from 1 species
UGAGGAAUUUUCUGCAAUGGGCGAAAGCCUGACAGAGCAAUACCGCGUGAAGGAUGACAGCUUAUGAGUUGUAAACUUCUUUUUUCAAGGAGGAAGAUCUGACGUUACUUGAAGAAUAAGCAUCGGCUAACUCUGUGCCAGCAGCCGCGGUAAUACAGAGGAUGCAAGUGUUAUCCGGAAUUAUUGGGCGUAAAGCGUCUGUAGGUGGAUAUUUAAGUCUUUUGUUAAAUCUUUAGGCUCAACCUAAAUUCUGCAAAAGAAACUAUUUAUCUAGAGUAUAGUAGAGGUAAAGGGAAUUUCCAGUGGAGUAGUGAAAUGCGUAGAUAUUGGAAAGAACACCAAAGGCGAAGGCACUUUACUGGGCUAUUACUGACACUCAGAGACGAAAGCUAGGGGAGCAAAAGGG